rnacentral:rRNA from 1 species
GAUGAACGCUGGCGGCGUGCCUAAUACAUGCAAGUCGAGCGAACAGACGAGGAGCUUGCUCCUCUGACGUUAGCGGCGGACGGGUGAGUAACACGUGGAUAACCUACCUAUAAGACUGGGAUAACUUCGGGAAACCGGAGCUAAUACCGGAUAAUAUAUUGAACCGCAUGGUUCAAUAGUGAAAGACGGUUUUGCUGUCACUUAUAGAUGGAUCCGCGCCGCAUUAGCUAGUUGGUAAGGUAACGGCUUACCAAGGCAACGAUGCGUAGCCGACCUGAGAGGGUGAUCGGCAACAAUGGAACUGAGACACGGUCCAGACUCCUACGGGAGGCAGCAGUAGGGAAUCUUCCGCAAUGGGCGAAAGCCUGACGGAGCAACGCCGCGUGAGUGAUGAAGGUCUGCGGAUCGUAAAACUCUGUUAUUAGGGAAGAACAAAUGUGUAAGUAACUAUGCACGUCUUGACGGUACCUAAUCAGAAAGCCACGGCUAACUACGUG